rnacentral:rRNA from 1 species
UUUCUAGUCUUGUAAUUGGAAUGAGUACAAUUUAAAUCCCUUAACGAGGAACAAUUGGAGGGCAAGUCUGGUGCCAGCAGCCGCGGUAAUUCCAGCUCCAAUAGCGUAUAUUAAAGUUGUUGCAGUUAAAAAGCUCGUAGUUGAAUUUUAGGCCCGGUUGGACGGUCUGCUCUAGGGUUUGUACUGUCCUGACUGGGUCUUACCUUCUGGUGAGCUGUCGUGUUGUUUACUCAGCGCGGCAGGGAACCAGGACAUUUACUUUGAAAAAAUUAGAGUGUUUAAAGCAGGCAUACGCUUGAAUACAUUAGCAUGGAAUAAUAGAAUAGGACUUUGGUUCUAUUUUGUUGGUUUCUAGGACCGAAGUAAUGAUUAAUAGGGAUAGUUGGGGGCAUUAGUAUUUA